CCCGGUUAAUUUUGUAUUUUUAGUAGAGACGGGAGCACUCUGCAGGUACUAAGAAUGGCAGUGCUGCGGACAGCGCUGUGUUUUUAGGGGCUGCCCACCUUCCCACCUCACUGGCACCAGCCCUGUGGUUCCUACUGGGGGCUCCCGUGCACCCUCCUCUCUCCUGCUUGAAAAAGUGGCGUUGCCAGCCUGGCUCUGCGUCCAAGCCUUUCCUGUCAUCUCCUGGGUCUGCCCUGGUCUGCGCCGCUUCUGUGCAUUUCUGGGUUCCUGUCCUGCCUGUUGGCACUUGCCCAGCCCUUCACCUUUCUCCUGGCCGUCUGGGGUUGGUGAGGGCUGGCCAGGCUGCACCCUGCUGCUGUUCUCUGACCACAUUGGGGGAGCCUGUUUCUGGCAGAAAGUGGGAGUUGGGGUGGGAUGGAAGUGAGGGGCUGGGUGGAGUCAGGCCUGGGCCCCCUUCUGCUGCAGCCCUCUGCUGCCCUCCCCCACGUGCCCUGAGUUCCACCCUUGCCUCGCUGAUC
rnacentral:lncRNA from 1 species